rnacentral:rRNA from 1 species
UACGUAGGGUGCGAGCGUUAAUCGGAAUUACUGGGCGUAAAGGGUGCGCAGGCGGUCUCGUAAGCUGGGUGUGAAAGCCCCGGGCUUAACCUGGGAACUGCAUUCGAAACUGCCAGCCUUGAGUGGUGGAGAGGGAAGUGGAAUUCCUGGUGUAGAGGCGAAAUUCGUAGAUAUCAGGAGGAACACCAGUGGCGAAGGCGGCUUCCUGGACACCAACUGACGCUGAGACGCGAAAGCGUGGGGAGCAAACAGG